UCCCAUUUGCAGGAAGCAGCCGCUAACUGGAAUGGCGACGCUUUCUCUCAUUCCUCUUGCAAAAAUCUCUCCGCACUCACGACGGCUGUCACGGUGCGAUGUCGUUCGUUUUUCCUCCCCGUUUACCGGAACACUGAACCCAAUCACAGUGCCCAAAUCUGUAUCUAGGGUUCCGGCGUUGGUUUCCCCGCUGGAAGCUAUCUCUUUAUCCAACCUGUCGGGAUUCCCGGCCAACCUGCUGGAUCUCCUCCGUGCUUCACCCGCUACUUGGGAGUCCUCAAUUGCAAGCAAUCUAUUCAUCUUCACACUUGGAUCGCCGCUUCUUUUGUCGGGGCUUUCUGCAUUGGGGAUGGGGUCUGCAUUCUUGCUGGGUGUCUUGACGUGGAGAGCCUUCGAAGCACCAGGGUUCCUACUCGUUGCAACAUAUUUUGUUGUGGGAACAGCAGUUACCAAGUUGAAGAUUGCUCAAAAGGAAGCUCUUGGUGUUGCUGAGAAAAGGAUGGGAAGAAGAGGUCCGGGUAGCGUUAUUGGAUCCAGUGCCGCCGGUUGUGCUUGUGCCUUGUUAUCAAUAUAUAGCGUGGGUGGAUCUGCAUUUUCAGAAAUUUGGCGGCUUGCUUUUGUGGCUAGCUUCUGCACCAAAUUAAGUGAUACCGUUUCUAGUGAAAUUGGAAAGGCAUAUGGGAAGACAGCGUAUCUUGUAACAACAUUGAAGGUAGUCCCACGUGGCACAGAAGGUGCUGUUAGUGUUGAAGGGACUAUUGCUGGAAUUUUGGCUUCGGUUCUUCUUUCUACUGUCAGCUAUUUUAUGGGCGAGGUAACUGCACCACAAGCUGCCAUAUGUGUUCUAGCUUCACAGAUUGCGAACAUUGGUGAAAGCUUUAUAGGUGCUGCAUUUCAAGAGAAAGAUGGUUUCCAAUGGCUCAAUAAUGAUGUUGUUAAUGUAGCCAACAUCUCCAUUGGUAGCAUCUUGGCAGUUCUGAUGCAGUUGCUCGUAUUUGAUGGCUGCCGCUGAUGAGUGAUUUACAACAAAUCAUCAUUUUCUGUGUUUCCAUUGCCUUUUUGGUAUUGCUAUCUCGGGAUAAUUUAAUUGUGCUAAAGAUGAGGCUCUCUAAUUGCUUUCAGCAUUGCAUUAUUGAUAUAAUUAAUUUUUUCCUAGAAAAAACAUGUAGCUAAAUUUUUUAUUUCAAUUUAUUUCUUAAUUUGACAUACUAUUUUUGGAGAAAGUUGAAGGUCACGCUCAGCCAUUUCUUUAAUAUAGCGAUAUUACAUGGCAGUUUAUAAAGUGGCAUUAGCCCCUAAAAUUAUAAAAAAUGGGAACCUUGAAGAAAAUUAUCAUUAAACACAACAAAAGUAAAAGCUCCCAUGUUCAAAAUAAGAUUAAUACAAAAAGAGAUAUCAUAGAAGACCCAAUUCGUUAUGCACACGUAGAAGUGGCUGCUCUGCACAAGGAAGCAGUGAUCUCUGUAGUAUCUGUAAUUCUCGGGCAAAUAAUUUGGCACUGAUUUUGUUAUUAGGAUAUGGAGCCGGUAGAGAGUACACUGAUAUCACUUAUAUGCCUGUUAUUCACAUUAGGGCAUUAACGAUAGACUUAAUGUCUGUUCUAUGCCCUUGUUUUCC